UUUUGAUUAGUAGGUGAGGCACAUGAGGAGUUUGUGGUGAAUGCAUCAGUGGGAGGAAGAAAGGCAUGAAAUGAAGAAUCGACAUGAUUGUGGUGCCUGGAGCCAGAGAGUUAGCUGCUGGUUCCAGCUCUGGUAUUAACUGAGGGUGUGAUCUGAGAGGAGAAAGCUGAAGCACCAGAUGGUUAAAAGGACUGUUCAAGACAGCCUUGCAAUUUUGACCAAG
rnacentral:lncRNA from 1 species